rnacentral:rRNA from 1 species
UACGAGAGGCCCAACCGUUAUUCGGAUUUACUGGGCUUAAAGAGUUCGUAGGCGGCUUGGAAAGUGGGGUGUGAAAGCCCUCGGCUCAACCGAGGAAUUGCGCUCCAAACUACCGAGCUUGAGUAGGCUAGAGGUGAGCAGAACUGAUGGUGGAGCGGUGAAAUGCGUUGAUAUCAUCAGGAAUACCGGAGGCGAAGGCGGCUCACUGGGACCUAACUGACGCUGAGGAACGAAAGCUAGGGGAGCAAACGGG